GACGAACGCUGGCGGCGUGCCUAAUACAUGCAAGUAGGACGCAGUUGCGAACGGGUGAGUAACGCGUAGGUAACUGCCUAUUAGAGGGGGAUAACUAUUGGAAACGAUAGCUAAUACCGCAUACUAGUAGAUGGACCUGCGUUGUAUUAGCUAGUAGGUAGGGCAAUGGCCUACCUAGGCCACGGUACAUAGCCGGCCUGGGGGGGUGAAGGGCCACAAUGGGACUGGGACACGGCCCAGACUCCUACGGGAGGCAGCAGUAGGGAAUCUUCGGCAAUGGGGGGAACCCUGACCGAGCAACGCCGCGUGAGUGAAGAAGGUUUUCGGAGCGUAAAGCUCUGUUGUUAAGGAAGCGGUACUUAACCAGAAAGGGACGGCUAACUACGUGCCAGCAGCCGCGGUAAUUC
rnacentral:rRNA from 1 species